rnacentral:ncRNA from 1 species
GUGGCAUGAUUUAAGCCUUGUCUGAUCGAGGUUUGUUUGUCCUAAAUUGCAAAUGGCUCAUUAAAACAGCUAUAGUUUAUUUGCUAAAGUUUAUAUAGAUGACCGUAGUAAUUCUAGACUAAUGCAUGCUGAUACGCUCUGCGUAGUAUUUAUCAGACAAAUACAUGCUGACACGCUCUGCCUAAUAAUUAAUAGACAAAUACUAACGGGAGAGAUGCUGUGGAGGAUCAUAAUAGCUUAGCGAACUUCUUUGGAAGUGAAGCUUUCAAGUUUCUGCCCUAUCAGUUUUCGAUGAUAGUGUAUUGGACUACCAUGGCAAUGAUGGGUGACAGAGAAUUAGGGUUCGAUUCCGGAGAGGGAGCCUGAGAAACGGCUACCACAUCUAAGGAAGGCAGCAGGCGCCUAAAUUACCUAAUCUUAAUUCAGGGAGGCAGUGAUAAAAAAUAACAAUACGGGGCUUUGUCUCGUGAUUUGGAUGAGAUAAGUUUUAACUACUAGAUGAUUAUUAACUGGAGGGUAAGUCUGACUCUACU